UGACUGUCCUCCAACAGUGCGGUUGCCUGGUU
rnacentral:piRNA from 1 species